rnacentral:rRNA from 1 species
GAUGAACGCUGGCGGCGUGCCUAAUACAUGCAAGUCGAGCGAACAGACGAGGAGCUUGCUCCUUCGACGUUAGCGGCGGACGGGUGAGUAACACGUAGGUAACCUACCUAUAAGACUGGGAUAACUUCGGGAAACCGGAGCUAAUACCGGAUAAUAUUUCGAACCGCAUGGUUCGAUAGUGAAAGAUGGCUUUGCUAUCACUUAUAGAUGGACCUGCGCCGUAUUAGCUAGUUGUUAAGUUAACGGCUUACCAAGGCAACGAUACGUAGCCGACCUGAGAGGGUGAUCGGCCACACUGGAACUGAGACACGGUCCAGACUCCUACGGGAGGCAGCAGUAGGGAAUCUUCCGCAAUGGGCGAAAGCCUGACGGAGCAACGCCGCGUGAGUGAUGGAGGUCUUCGGAUCGUAAAACUCUGUUAUUAGGGAAGAACAAACGUGUAAGUAACUGUGCACGUCUUGACGGUACCUAAUCAGAAAGCCACGGCUAACUACGUG